rnacentral:rRNA from 1 species
UACGGGGGGGGGCAAGCGUUGUUCGGAAUUACUGGGCGUAAAGGGCUCGUAGGCUGCCAACUAAGUCAGACGUGAAAUCCCUCAGCUUAACUGGGGAACUGCGUCUGAUACUGGAUGGCUUGAGUUUGGGAGAGGGAUGCGGAAUUCCAGGUGUAGCGGUGAAAUGCGUAGAUAUCUGGAGGAACACCGGUGGCGAAGGCGGCAUCCUGGACCAACACUGACACUGAGGAGCGAAAGCCAGGGGAGCAAACGGG